rnacentral:misc_RNA from 1 species
GGUCUCUACGUUAUCUGGGCCCAAGUGAUUUAUUAUCCCUCGUUAUCUGCGUCCGUGUAGUUAAUCAAGGCGCGGUGGAGGGCUGAGUGACGCCUCUAGACCCUUAUAUAUCUAAUGGAGGGACAGACGUGUGGCGGUGCUGUGGUGGACAUGGAGCCUCGGAAUAACCAUGUAUCACAGCGACACGAGCCUCUGAGUCGCCUUCCUCCGUCAACACGAAUUCUGCAGCAGCUUUAUGUGUCACGGCCUCACCUCCAACGUCGCCCUACUGCUCACUCGUGGUGGAUGCGCGGGAUGAAGCGGAGCAUCUCGGUCUCAUGUUCCAGGCUGACCCUUCUCCUGAGCUGCUUCGUCGCUACCAGCGAUCCAGGGAUGAUUUGACAGCACUCCUGGAAUGUGUAAGUACCGACUCCUGGCAGCGGUUCACUGACAGCAUUAAUCAUCAAACCACUGUGGCUUCCAUGUGGUACCUCAUUCGUCGAGUGGUCAAGAGGAUACCUGCUACAGCCCGUCACCAUUCCCCCGCCGUGUUCGCCCAACAGCUUGUUGACAAGUGGUCGGAGUAGUCCACCCCUGCCAGCCUUCCUGCUGCUGUUCAAGAUGCUGUCUCUUGCGGCGUUCUCACUCGUCGGCUUCAUCUGGCAAGAGCCUUGCUGCAAAAAGAUGAUGAGCAGUCUGUGCUGAUCAUAGAGGAUAAGCUGCGCCGUGCUCUCUUGAGAGGCUUCUGCUACCUGUGGUCUCGUUGUCUCUCCACAUAAGUGCAGAAUCUUCUCUUGCCGCCCUCCUGCCACUCUACCGGACUUUACCGUUGGAGGCACCGUCAUCCCCCUGUGCUCGCAGUACCGCUACCUUGGUGCCCCAGUAAGGAUCUCUGCAGCCCUCCCUGCCCCUCGCUAGCCUCAUCCUAUCGUCCGUGAUCUGUUGGAGCGACUCCAGCGACGACUACAUCCUCUUCAGUGGCUCACCAACAACUCUUCCGGCAUCUCCAUUCCCGUUGCCAGAACCAUCUAUAUCACCUUCAUUCGCUCUGUUAUUGACUAUCUUUCCCCUGCCUUAAUUCAACUUCCUCGGGCUGCCGUGGAGCCUCUGGAUAUUUUUCAGAAUAGAGCGAUGAGAGUCAUUCUUUGAUGCCCUGUGUCUACCAGGAUCGUGGAUAUGCAACGGGAAUUACGACUUCCAUCCUUGGUGGAGAGGAUCCACUCCAAUGUUACAAGUCUUGCAGUUAAGUGUCUCCAUUUUCUUCACCUCUCUCCACACUUCACAGCGUUAGUCAGGGCAUCUCUCGGCCCCGCUUCGGCCGUCCCCCCUCUCCUGCCUUCGAGUCGUCGUCUUAUUAGGUCUGUUUCUUCAUGUCUUCGCAGCGUUGAUUUGCAAGUUCUUGUAGCUGAUGUGGUCCCAGGCCCACCCCCGUGGAAACUGCCGUCGCCUGUGGUCAGCUUCACUCCCACCGCCAAGUGUGAUCCACCUCCUCUACAGCUGCAACUGGCCUUGGAGCAUGUAGAGCAGGUAACAUCCUCCAUCACCGCUCCACAUCACCUCUACACCGAUGGGUCGCUACAACCAGAUGGUGCCGCUGGUGGUGCCGUCUUCUCACCUGACUUGCCGCCGCCUCCUGGGGGCUGGGUCGGCCGUCGGCUUCGUGACCGCUCCAGUACAACGUUGUGUGUGCUGAAUACCAUUCUGGAUGCUGUUAGUCUCGUUCGUCAGUGAGGGAUUAAUGCUGUCGUUAUUUGUGACUCUAAACCUGCUCUCCAGUCUCUUUCCGCGUCUCAUCCCAGUCACCUUUUAGUUGUUCAACAGAUCCUGUCCUUUCUGUCCCUAAUGAGCGACCGUGGCCUCUGUGUGAAAUUUAUUUGGAUUCCUUCCCACGUAGGUUUGCUUCACAAUGACACAGUUGACCGCCUGGCGAAGGAAGCCUGCCUGUGCGACACCUCCUGCCCCAGGAUCUACCAGUACAUGCUGUCUGCCUUCACCUGCUACUGCCUGACGUGUUGGACGAAAUCUUUAGUACGUCAGCCUCGCUUCGGGGUAUUUACCUAAACGUCCUGCCCCGCGUGGCUUCCAUAUUAUCACUAUUCUUGCUGUUCU